CACUUGAAAUGUAUAUAAGAAAUACUCAAGUUAAUAAAAAAAAAGAAAGAAAGAAAAAAAAAUACCAUAAUUAAACCUAACUCUUUGUAAGCUACCAAACAUACUUUUAAUUAAAAAACAAAACAAAACAAAAAACAAAAAAACACGUAUAAGCCUUGUUAAAAAAAAAAAGUAUGGGUAAGUAAUGCAUUGGUUGGUUGCAGGAUGGUGCUGAGGUAAGGAAAGGGUGGCUCUUCCUAUGAUCAUGCUGGCCCCCUGUUCCUCCUCCUGACACUUCCCAAUAGUAGCCAGGCCACCAGACACCCAUUGUCCCAGCGCUGUGCAAUGUUGAUAAGUCUCUUCUGGUGUUUGAAUACUUAAGGGACAAAGUAGAGACCAAGAGGCUUCUGAGAUGACAGAUUUAAGGGUUACCCAGCCUUCCUAGGGCAAUGAAGCAGAAGACCCAGGGAUACAGGGCUCUGCACCCCAUCUCAGGCCAGUUGCAAGGCAGAGAUCCUUGGGCUCUCCGACGGCAGGGGCUUCACCGGUCUCUCUGCCUGGGGUUAUAAUUUGUCUCUAAAAUGUCUUCCACUGGGUCAGGCUUUGGGCUGUCUGUCCCUAUCCUAGCUUAAUAGGUGUUAUUUUGGAAUUUGUGGAGCCUUGAGGAAGUGGGCUCUGAUUGGUGGAAGUAGAUCCCUAGGGUGGGUUUUAAAGAGUUCCAGAGAGUUCUCUGCAUUCUGAUUGGCUGUGGUAUGAAUGAGUUUCCACCUCAUAAUAUACUCCUUGACUUCUCCACUGUAGACUCUCCUCACUAGUUUCUGUUGGGUAUUUGGUCACAGCAGAACUCUGGUAAACACCUCAGGAAAAGGCCUAGAUCCCAGAAGAAGAGAGAGAGACAGGCACCAGGGGAAGCAGCCUUGACCCUUCACACACACACUUGGGGACAGAUGCAGUUGCCAGGCUCUUGUGGACCAAGUAUAGUGCCAGGAACACAUGGGAUGAGCUGAUACUCAAGCUCCUCCAACAGGGGACUGACUCUUGGUGAUCUCUGUGGAUGGACACCAUUGAGCAUCCGGGAGACCUCAAUGGACCACACAGAGGUUUUCGCAUUUCAAGAUCCCUGGAAGAUGAGUUGUUGCAUGAAGAAUAACAGCCUCCAAAGACAUCCGUGCUCUGAUUCCCUCCGCCUGCAGUCAUUGCCCUCUCUACCACGUUUCUUGUUGAUGUGGUUUUAGUUAAAGAUCCUGAGAUGAAGGUGUUCUAGAAGACCAUGUGGGAUCUAGAUACAGCCACAUUUUUUAUAAGAAGGAAGCAGGCAUGGUGGUGAAAUUCAAAGUACUGAGGCAGGAGGAUUUCUUGGGCCCAGGAGCUUGAGACCUGUUUGGGGAAAGCAGCAGGACCACAUAUUGAAAUUAAGCACAACACAGGAUAGUUUAGAGGAAAGAAGGCAAUGGAGCAAGAUGCUGGACCACUGGCCUUGGCCAUUGAAGAAGAGACCAUCAGCUAAGAAACAUAGCAUCAGUCACUGCAGAGAUGCUCUUCCAGACCACCUGCGUUCAGUGCCCAGCACCCACAUCUGGUGGCUCACAGCACCUGUAACUACAGUCCCAGGGGAUCUGAUACCCUGCUCUGACUUCUACAGGCACGCUCUCGUACACACACACACACACACACACACACACACACACACACACACAAAGUAAGUAAUUUUAAUUACUAUAAAAUGCAUCGUUGGAUAGAAGGCAAGGGAGUGUUCUCCUUAGGACCUUCAGAGAGACUACAGCUCGGGGAAUACUUGAUUUUUGAAUCAAUGAAAUUGAUUUGAACUUAUGACCUCCAGAAUGAAGGAAGGAGGAGGAUAGAUGUGUGCUGCCUUAAGUCAACAAGUUUGUGGGAGUAUAUCAGCACAGAACAGUAAACUAAUAAAACGAGCAAACAGAGACAUUUCAUGACUUGCUUCAAGUCACCCAGCAGGUAAGUGUAGCCAAAGUGCCCCCCCAACCAUGUGACCCUAAGCCUGUUUUCUUUUAUAGAUGAUGCUGCUUCCAAGUCUCCAGCAAUGUUGGGUAUAACCAAGGGGAAACACAUUGUGUGUGUAUGUGUGUGUGUGUGUGUGUGUGUGUGUGUGUGUGUAUGUGUGUGUGUGUAUAUGUGUGUGUGAGUGUGUGUGUGUAUGUGUGUGUGAGUGUGUGUGUGUGUGUGUGUGUGUAUGAGACGUAUGUACAGGAGCAUGUGUGCAGGUAUGCGUAGGCCAGAGAACAACAUCAGGUGUCUUUCUUUUCCUGAUGGUUCUCCAUCUUAAGUUUUGAGACUGUCUCUCACCGAGCGGGCGCUCCAGUGAGCUCCAGGGAUGCCUUUCUCCGCCUCUUCCGCCUCCUCAGUGCUGGGGUUACCUGCACUUCACCACACUGCCCUGUGCAGCUUCUGCAGAGGGGCUGGGGACCUGAAAUUAAGUCUUCAAGUUUACACAGAAGGCACGUUCCUACCUGAACCAUCUCUCCAGCCCACCGGCGCUUUCUUCUAUAUGAAAACCCCACUCUGCCCUGCCCUCUUGGCUAGAGAACGUUGAUGUCACCUGCAUGUCUACACGUCUGGUUGGUAACUACUAAGAGGCACAAGCUGUGCACCCCUAAUCCGAAAACCGGAGACACUCAAAAACUCAGAAUUUCUACUUCGCUGUUUCAAAUUAUUAAUGAAAACGCUGUAUAAAAUUUCCUUCAGGUACAUGUGAAACAUACAUUAUUUUGUAUCUAGACCUGGGCCCCAUCUCCCAAGUUUCCUUUUAGUAUAUGCAAAUAUUCCAAACUAGGAAAAAGUCCAAAAUCAUAGAUACUUUAUAUUCCCAGUGUGAACAUCUUACUGGAUGCAUAGCUGGCUGGCUGAGGACUACAUUCCCCAGACUGCUCUGCAGUAGGUGGUCCCAUCAACAGGAAUAAUUACAAGAAGUGAUGAGAAGGACAUAAUUUUGCCCUAAGAGAAAUGAUGGUGUGAUCACCCUUCACCCUGAAGUCCCAUACAAACCUUCUACCGCUGACAGACGACAGUGAAUGGUCAGGCUCGUCAGGCACAGCGGGGGAAGGUAGCAUUGCAGAUGGCCAUGAAUGGCUACCCAAUACUUGGAAAAUCAGCGUCCUCGUAUGCAACACACACAGCACCGUAUGCACCACAGGAAGCUGUUUAAAACACCCUCUCCUUCCUAAGGAGAGAAACAACCACUCCAUCGCGUGUGUGUGUGUGUGUGUGUGUGUGUGUGUGUGUGUGUGUACAUAUGUGUAUGUGUGUGUAUACACACACAUGCCAAUAUUCAAUAUUGGCAGUUUUAUAGGUUCUAAGGUUUCCGGGUACUCUCUCCUGUCACCUUCAAAUAAACCAGACAUCAUCUAUGUGUGUCCAUACAGUGUUGUGCAAAUCUCAUGACUAAGGUCUGGUCCUCUUCUGCAGGAUGCAGCAACCUGUGGUUUACUCAACAGCAGCCCCACCCCCCAUGCCCAAGAUGACAUCUAUGCACACCUGAGAGCUUCUAGAUUGUGUCCCGUGAGAACACAUCUUUACCUGACAGAACCCAUCCCCUGAUAACUGUCUUCUUUCUUAUACAAGAUAUUAUUCAGAAUUGGAUUUGCCUAAUAUUCCAUAGAUUUCUAGAAUCUGUGGCCACGAGUUGAACCAUGUUCCAUUUCUGUGCCGGGUUCUGGCCUGAUGUGUAGACAGACCUAAAUGAGCUAGUUGUCUUCAAAGCUAUGUAGUUCCAGCCGGACUUGGGGUUCAUCCCGGGCCUCCUGAGCUCUGUAGGUCCUUUGUGAAGAGUGAUUCUCAUUUCUGCUCCGUUAAAAUUCAGCCUGGAAGAGUUACACAUGGAUAGGUCUACAGGGUGUGCUGACCCAUAACAGUGUUGCCAGUCCCAAGAAGGAAAAAACAGGAGAGAAGGGAAAGGUGGGAGGGGCUGCCUGUCAGCAGGAGCAGCCCUUAAAUCUUGAACAGGACAAUCCUGAAGGGGGAAAGAGAGCACGCACAGGCGCUGCCCCUCCCUGGGCUGUGGAAGGGAUGGGGAGUUUGUAGUCAGCCUAGGCUGUAUAGCAAGGCCCUGACUAAAAACUAAUCAAAUAAAGCCAUCCUGAUUUCUAUAAAUAUCACAGAUGUUUGAUGAGCCUCAACAACCAUUUUGAAUCUUAUGCCCAUAAGUCUCUUACCCAGACCACAGCCCACCAUGCUACUCAGGCUCAAAUGGACAACAUGCUCCUGGUGCAUGCUACCCAAGCUUUAUAUGCACAGCCUGCUACAUAGGCUCACACGGACAGUACAGACACUGCUCCCAACUCAGGGAUCACCAACUGACCAACUGGCAGAAGCUGAAAUGGGGUACAGCUUAACCUUAGCCUCCAGAAGACCCCAACCUCAGCAGGAAACAAGCAGAACUGAAGUCAACGGCCAUUAGUCCUGGGCUCAUCCCCUCUAACCCUUGUCCCACGAAGUCAUAUCUUUUUUAUGUAUAUAAGCAAAAAGGCUUGAAUGCUAGAUCGCAGAUGUCACUCCUGUACAAAAGACCAGCCAUGUUCGUAUCCCAUCCAGUGCCUUCAUUAAUCUGCCAAGCCCUUCCCCUUUGAGCUUAGACAUUGCUCUCUCUAACGUCCACACACAUAAGGCAUUUCCUUUGCUCUGUGAGUUGAAGUUGCUUGGCUCUCUUAUCCAGCAUCACUAGAGAAAAUUAUAAGCAGUGACUUAUUGAAUGCGUGAGCCACACACUUCUUCCAGUCAGUUGGACGGCCAAAGGCCAUUUAUCUUACAUCUGCUUCACUGUCAUCAUCCAUUCUGUGAGUUACUUAUCAAGUGUCCACGGUGUACCUGGCAGUAAAGAUCAGCUACCUGGAGAUACAGUAACUGCAAAGGGGGAGGCUUGUUCAAAAGUCACUGGCAAUGGAGGAUGCUGAUGGUAAAGCAUGCAGCAGCAGUGGCCUAGGAGUCAAGGAAACAAUAGUAAAGUAAACGCUCAUACCACAUUCAUACCGUUAGAGUUCAACAAGAAGAGACAGGUGAUAAGGAGUAUCCAGUUCUGCUUCCAGGACCCCCUUUGGUACCCAAACCUACAGAUGCUCAAGUUCCCUGGAUAGAGUGACAUGCUGUUUGCACAUAACUCGCCCACUUCUGCUUGUUCAGACUAGGUGGUUUGUACGUAGCCCACUUGUGCUUGUUAUAAUGUGUCUAGGUUUCUUCUGGUGCCUCUCGGAAUCUAAACCUGUGCAAAGAGCUGUGCUAUCCAACAGGGAAUCACCCAGAAAUACAAAUCCGUGCAUAUUCUGUCCAGAUAUGUAAUUCCCCCAAAUGUUUCCAAAUCAUGGUUGACCAGAUCUGCAGCAUUGGAACCUAUGGGCACAGGACCAAGCAUAGGGUGUUACUUUUUAAUUUAUAUAAGAAACACACACACACACACACACACACACACACACACACACACGUAAAUCAGAGAAAAACUACAAAAUGUUGAGUGAUGGUACAGUGGGGCAGUGAUACAGAGAUGG